rnacentral:rRNA from 1 species
AAUGGGCGAAAGCCUGACCCAGCGACGCCGCGUGGGUGAUGAAGGCCUUCGGGUUGUAAAGCCCUGUCAUGCGGAAAGAACAGUCUUACGGUUAAUACCCGUGAGAUUUGACGGUACCGCAGGAGGAAGCACCGGCUAACUCCGUGCCAGCAGCCGCGGUAAUACGGAGGGUGCAAGCGUUGUUCGGAAUUAUUGGGCGUAAAGGACGCGUAGGCGGUAAUGAAAGUCAGAUGUGAAAUACUUCGGCUCAACUGAAGAACUGCAUCUGAAACUUCAUAACUAGAGUACAGAAGAGGGAAAUGGAAUUCCCGGUGUAGAGGUGAAAUUCGUAGAUAUCGGGAGGAACACCAGUGGCGAAGGCGAUUUCCUGGUCUGAUACUGACGCUGAGGCGUGAAAGUGUGGGGAGCAAA